rfam:Flavobacterium frigoris strain DSM 15719 genome assembly, contig: Ga0131223_102
UUUUAGCCCUGAUGGAAGUGGCAUCCUUUUUAGCCUCGUUCUCAAAACGAGACUAAAAAGAUAUAACGGACAGCAGGAAUAGCU